rnacentral:tRNA from 1 species
GGGGUCGUGGUCAGUGGCAGAGCACUCACCUAGCACAUGUGAGGCCCUGGGUUCGAUCCUCAGCACCACA